GACGAACGCUGGCGGCGUGCCUAAUACAUGCAAGUAGAACGCUGAAGGAGGAGCUUGCUUCUCCGGAUGAGUUGCGAACGGGUGAGUAACGCGUAGGUAACCUGCCUGGUAGCGGGGGAUAACUAUUGGAAACGAUAGCUAAUACCGCAUAACAGUAGAUAUUGCAUGAUAUCUGCUUGAAAGGUGCAAUUGCAUCACUACCAGAUGGACCUGCGUUGUAUUAGCUAGUUGGUGGGGUAACGGCUCACCAAGGCGACGAUACAUAGCCGACCUGAGAGGGUGAUCGGCCACACUGGGACUGAGACACGGCCCAGACUCCUACGGGAGGCAGCAGUAGGGAAUCUUCGGCAAUGGACGGAAGUCUGACCGAGCAACGCCGCGUGAGUGAAGAAGGUUUUCGGAUCGUAAAGCUCUGUUGUAAGAGAAGAACGAGUGUGAGAGUGGAAAGUUCACACUGUGACGGUAUCUUACCAGAAAGGGACGGCUAACUACGUGCCAGCAGCCGCGGUAAUACGUAGGUCCCGAGCGUUGUCCGGAUUUAUUGGGCGUAAAGCGAGCGCAGGCGGUUAGAUAAGUCUGAAGUUAAAGGCUGUGGCUUAACCAUAGUACGCUUUGGAAACUGUUUAACUUGAGUGCAAGAGGGGAGAGUGGAAUUCCAUGUGUAGCGGUGAAAUGCGUAGAUAUAUGGAGGAACACCGGUGGCGAAAGCGGCUCUCUGGCUUGUAACUGACGCUGAGGCUCGAAAGCGUGGGGAGCAAACAUGG
rnacentral:rRNA from 1 species